rnacentral:piRNA from 1 species
UGCUUCACGCUAGCCUUGGGAUUUGUAG